AUGGGAAAGCGUAAUUAUGGCCAAAUGUCAAAAUAUUAUGAAAGCUUGUUACCAAAAGAAUGGAAAGUACAGUAUUAAAACCACUGAACAUGUAGGUGUGAAUGUCCUGAAAAAAGAACAGAUAUCAAACAACUGUAUUCCAAGAGUCUGAUGGCUGAUAAUGUAUUACAGGAUUUUAUCAUUCAAGCAACAUCUUAGAAGCCUAGGAUAAGUGCUAAUGUAUGAAGGAAGCCUUGGAUACAAAUAGCAAUUACAGCAAUUCCAUACAGGAUAGAACUCUUACACGUGGUCAUGAUAUGGGAGUGACGUAUUCAAGAAAUUUAAAACACAUAUCCAUGGAAUUAAAUAUUGUGUAUAUUUUUUCAACCACAAGUACUUUCAGAAUAUAAUACAAUUCAAAUUCAAAUUAUUGUGUCAAAUGACAAUUAUAGUCUAAAAAUGAAUAACACAUGUUUUUAACUGAAUUUUAUAUAAAUAUUUGAAAUUACAAGAAUUUUUAGCUUAUUAUGCAGCCAAACUUUGAAAUCUUCUAAUGGUAUAUGCUUAUUGUUUGUCAACAAAUUGUUUUGAAAUAAGAAGGAAAUGGUUGAAAAUAUCUGCAAUUUAUCAAUAUAAUGUGAUAUGAGGUAUAAAUCAAUCAGACAGCAACACAACAACAAAAGCACAUAAAAGGCAUUAAGGUGCUAACAUACAGUCCUCAACAAUAAACAGGUGUCUAAACAAUUUCAUGAUCUACUUAAUUGA